ensembl:lncRNA
AUCAUGUGGUGAGCCAGGAAGCCAGAGCAAUUCAUAGGUCAAGUUCACUCUUUUUAUAACAAUCCAUUCUCAUGGGAACUAAUUUUAUGAGACUGGCUUUAAUCCCUUCAGAAGGCAGGACACCCAACUUCCACUAGGACCCACCUCUCAAAGAUUUUGCCACUCUUAACAAUUCUAUGUUGGGUACCAGUCUUACAGCACAUGAACUCUUGGGGGACAAACCAUACUCAAAUUAAGACAACCUAAAUGCAAGUCUACUUGCAAUGUCAUUAACAUUUGAUAGUCAGGACAACAAAAUCCAAUAGAGGAAGAUUUUUCUUUAGUCCAUCAAUAAUAUACAAGGCCUCCAGAAGAAUGGCCUACAGCAAUGGAACUGGAUGAGCACAGACUGAAACCUCUGAGGCUGGAAAAUAUCCAGGGUGGUUCUUGUCCAAAGAAGAAGAAAAAGGGAACAGAUAUCAACCAAGCCAAGAUCUCCAGCCAAGUCUAGCUGGAUUUCUGCCUGAGAAGACCAACUACACUGACCCAGAGACUUCCGAGUAAGGAAGAUAAAUGGGCAACAGAGCUGUGGCUUCGAGUGCACUGCUUGUAUUGACCUUGAAGAAUUACUUGAGUCACCUUUCAUCAGAUAAACGGAGAGCUAUAAUUUGUCUCUUAACAAGACUGCCAAUAGAGCAUCUGUGAGAUUUCUACAGACUCCAAGGUUUCCCAUCAUUUUUUGUCGUGGCAGGCAACCCUUCUCUGAACUCUGGCUACAGUGAUCUCUGUUUUAGUAGGUCAUCAACUGUGCUCGUAGCCUUUUUAUUCUACCUUUAUGACCAUCUCAGAAAG